rnacentral:rRNA from 1 species
AGAACGAACGCUGGCGGCGUGGAUUAGGCAUGCAAGUCGAACGCGAAAGAGGGGGGGUAACUCCCCUCUAGUAGAGUGGCGAACGGGUGAGUAACGCGUGAAGAACCUGCCUUCAACAGGGGGAUAACACUCCCAACGGGGUGCUAAUACCGCAUGAGACCACGGGAUCGCAUGGUCCUGAGGUCAAAGGUGGCCUCUAUUUAUAAGCUACCGGUUGAAGAUGGCUUCGCGUCCCAUUAGCUAGUUGGCGGUGUAAAAGACCACCAAGGCGACGAUGGGUAGCUGGUCUGAGAGGAUGGUCAGCCACACUGGGACUGAGAUACGGCCAGACUCCUACGGGAGGCAGCAGUCGAGAGGCUUUGGCAAUGGGGAAACCCUGACCAAGCGACGCCGCGUGGAGGAUGAAGGCCCUUGGUUGUAACUCUUUUGCUAGGAAGAAAUGCGAUCAGGUGAACAAUCUGGUCGUUGACGUACCUGGCGAAUAAGCUCCGGCUAACGUCCGCGCCAGCA